GAUGAACGCUGGCGGCGUGCCUAAUACAUGCAAGUCGAGCGAACAGAUGAGGAGCUUGCUCCUCUGACGUUAGCGGCGGACGGGUGAGUAACACGUGGAUAACCUACCUAUAAGACUGGGAUAACUUCGGGAAACCGGAGCUAAUACCGGAUAAUCUAUUGAACCGCAUGGUUCAAUAGUGAAAGACGGUUUUGCUGUCACUUAUAGAUGGAUCCGCGCCGCAUUAGCUAGUUGGUAAGGUAACGGCUUACCAAGGCAACGAUGCGUAGCCGACCUGAGAGGGUGAUAGGCCACACUGGAACUGAGACACGGUCAAGACGCCUACGGGAGGCAGCAGUAGGGAAUCUUCCGCAAUGGGCGAAAGCCUGACGGAGCAACGCCGCGUGAGUGAUGAAGGUCUUCGGAUCGUAAAACUCUGUUAUUAGGGAAGAACAAAUGUGUAAGUAACUAUGCACGUCUUGACGGUACCUAAUCAGAAAGCCACGGCUAACUACGUG
rnacentral:rRNA from 1 species